rnacentral:tRNA from 1 species
CUCCUUGUGGUGUAGUUGGCUAUCACGUUCGACUGUAAUUGAUGAAUCAUAUCGAAAGGUCACCGGCUCGAUUCCGGUCGAGGAGA